rnacentral:rRNA from 1 species
UACGGAGGGUGCAAGCGUUAAUCGGAAUUACUGGGCGUAAAGGGUGCGUAGGUUGUCUGUUAAGUUAUUUGUGAAAUCCCUGGGCUUAACCUGGGCAGGUCAGAUAAUACUGAUGGACUCGAGUAUGGGAGAGGGUAGUGGAAUUUCCGGUGUAGCGGUGAAAUGCGUAGAGAUCGGAAGGAACACCAGUGGCGAAGGCGGCUACCUGGCCUAAUACUGACACUGAGGCACGAAAGCGUGGGGAGCAAACAGG